UCCAAUAAUAUUAGGUCUGACUCGACAGCCAAACCCAAUGCUAUUGGGUCUAGCUGGGCUUGGCUGUCUAGCCGUACCUAAUGACAUUUUUAUAUU
rfam:Populus trichocarpa isolate Nisqually-1 chromosome 19, whole genome shotgun sequence.